GGGCUCCGUUGGACUGUGCGCGUGCGGCCGUCGUUACUCGCGUUCCGGGUCUGCGGCGUCCUGGGGGUCCCGAGCAGGGCGGGCGGGGUGAGGCCGCCCGCUGAGGGGAGAUGAAAGCAAUGGAAAUCAGUCGAUGGCCUGAGCAAGCACAUGGUAUCCCAGGAGCAUGAGCUCUGCUGCGUCUGUGCAGUAUCCAUCAGUGGGGAUCUUGCUGGCAGCUCUCAAGCUUGUAGAGGCAGGCAUGUGGUGAAAUUCUGAGCAUGGGAAAGGCUUGUAGGAAACAGUUACAAAGCCCUGACACUCCAGCUGUCCAGCAAUUUCCUACAUGAGCUCUCUGGUGGAGUACUGAAGAGGAGAAUGCCGAGACCCAGUGCAACACAGUGAGCUUUCCAGGGAAAAACUGUAAAUACAGUUCAAGAAAACAAGAAAAACAAGAAAAGAAGCUUCAGGAGGAAACCAUUUGAAGAGUUGUUGGAACCAGCCUGAGACCAGUGGCAUUCUGUACGGAAUAAGACUUCUCCAUAAGAAAUAAACUAUAGAAAAGAUGAAA